rnacentral:rRNA from 1 species
UACGUAGGGUGCGAGCGUUGUCCGGAAUUAUUGGGCGUAAAGGGCUCGUAGGCGGUUUGUCGCGUCGGGAGUGAAAACCAGGUGCUUAACACCUGGCUUGCUUUCGAUACGGGCAGACUAGAGGCAUGCAGGGGAGAACGGAAUUCCUGGUGUAGCGGUGAAAUGCGCAGAUAUCAGGAGGAACACCGAUGGCGAAGGCAGAUCUCUGGGCCGUAACUGACGCUGAGGAGCGAAAGCAUGGGGAGCGAACAGG